CAGUCGCCACGGUAAAACGGAGGGUGCAAGCGUUAAUCGGAAUUACUGGGCGUAAAGCGUGCGUAGGUGGUGGUUUAAGUCCGUUGUGAAAGCCCUGGGCUCAACCUGGGAAUUGCAGUGGAUACUGGGUCACUAGAGUGUGGUAGAGGGGGGUGGAAUUCCAGGUGUAGCGGUGAAAUGCGUAGAGAUCUGGAGGAAUACCGGUGGCGAAGGCGGCCCCCUGGACAAAGACUGACGCUCAGGUGCGAAAGCGUGGGGAGCAAACAGGAUUAGAUACCCGCGUAGUCCCUGUCUCUUAUAC
rnacentral:rRNA from 1 species